CCUACGGGGGGCAGCAGUGAGGAAUAUUGGUCAAUGGACGAGAGUCUGAACCAGCCAAGCCGCGUGAAGGAUGACUGCCCUAUGGGUUGUAAACUUCUUUUAUAAAGGAAUAAAACGAGGCACGUGUGCCUUUCUGCAUGUACUUUAUGAAUAAGGAUCGGCUAACUCCGUGCCAGCAGCCGCGGUAAUACGGAGGAUCCGAGCGUUAUCCGGAUUUAUUGGGUUUAAAGGGAGCGUAGAUGGGGUGUUAAGUCAGUUGUGAAAGUCUGCGGCUCAACCGUAAAAUUGCAUUUGAUACUGGCAGUCUUGAGUACAGUAGAGGUAUGCGGAAUUCGUGGUGUAGCGGUGAAAUGCUUAGAUAUCGCGAAGAACCCCGAUUGCGAAGGCAGCUUACUAACCUGUGACUGACAUUGAUGCUCGAAAGUGUGGGUAUCAAACAGGAUUAGAUACCCGUGUAGUC
rnacentral:rRNA from 1 species